UACGAAGGGGGCUAGCGUUGUUCGGAAUUACUGGGCGUAAAGCGCACGUAGGCGGGUUAUUAAGUCAGGGGUGAAAUCCUGGAGCUCAACUCCAGAACUGCCUUUGAUACUGAAGAUCUUGAGUUCGGGAGAGGUGAGUGGAACUGCGAGUGUAGAGGUGAAAUUCGUAGAUAUUCGCAAGAACACCAGUGGCGAAGGCGGCUCACUGGCCCGAUACUGACGCUGAGGCACGAAAGCGUGGGGAGCAAACAGG
rnacentral:rRNA from 1 species